ACUGAGCUCUAAAAAGCACCUGUGAAUGAACAACAGUGCACUUUGGAACUGCUGAUACGCUCUACACUGAAUCCACAGUUUUCGCAGGAUCAGGUGUGAGCCCCACAGUCAGAGUGGGGUGUUGUGGCUAAUGCAGAGGUCGCUAAAACAAGAGAACGAAGAAACCAGAGAGGACCAUUGGAGCACCACAGAUCUGACCCUGUAAUAUGAAGGUAGAUGGAGUGGCAAAGAAGCUGUCUGCCUGACUGAGCAUCUCCUCAUUAUCAUUCCCCCUCCCCUCUCUUCAUCCAAUUCCCUAGUCCUAUCUGCCAUCCCCCUCUCCACCACAUACAGAGCCAAACAACUACCACCACCGAUCUCUAACACCGUUGCACACACACAUAGAGAGACACACACACAAACACACACACACACACUACCCCUCUCUCCUGGGAUACGAUUUGAAGAUUCGCAAGUGCAGCCUCUCAUUUGUAAUCAGAUGAAAGAAAGGAUUAUCUCAAGGUUUGCCCCAUCUUGUUCCCGGCCAGGAUAGAGGGACGGAGGAGGAAGAGGAGGAAGAGACUGGAGAGGAGGGAGGGAGGAGUCUGUGGAUGGUGCGUGGUGAGAGGAGGUCACCUGUAGAGAACCACUUUCCUCUCCAUUCAAACAACCUGGACUAACAGGUGUUUAUCCUGGGAUCCUGGGGGAUAACUUGACUCUGACACACACAGAGAGAGAGAGAGAGAGAGAGAGAGAGAGAGAGAGAGAGAGAGAGAGAGAGAGAGAGAGGGAGGGAGAGAGAGAGAAAUAAAGAAGAGGAACAUAAGGCACGGAUCUUAUAUUUUUUCUAAAAGACCUAUCCAAGGCCUUUGAUACUGUCGACCAUCCCCUCCUCAUUCAAAGGUUGUCUGAAAUGGGCCUCGGGCAGAUGUCUCGCAUGUGGUUUGGGAGCUGUCAGAAAAGGACACUGUGUGCUUUCAAGUCAAUAUCACUAAAGGUGUCCUGCAGGGGAUGAUUUUGUGACCGGUCCUCUUUACUAUUUAUAUCAAUAAUAUUGGUCUAUCUGCAAAAACCUGUUACAUUCAUCUGUAUGCAGAUGACACUGUUAUGUAUGCUGUUGCUCCUACUGCUGACCAGGCUAUGUUGGAGCUGCAAUCAGAUUUUGUUGCCUUGCAGAAAGCCCUUGUUGAUUUAAAACGUGUACUUAAUGGGGGAAAAACUAAAUGUAUGUUGUUUUCUAAUUCUCGUAGAAAUAUUUCAGAUGGUUCUCUCAGCGAGCAGAUUCCCGCCUAUAAACAUCUAGGCUUUUGGAUUGACAAUGUGAGAUUUAAAAAAAAUGGAUGAGCUAAUUAAGAAGCUGAGAUUUAAAGUAGGCUUCUUUUAUUGAAGAGCACAUAAAGAACAUGUAUGAUACAUACACAACGUAUCUUUGCUGUCUUACACAGGAGCGUAAUUACAUUUACAUGUUAAGGGUACAUUUUGGCUGUAUAGAACAAAUAUUUCAAGAGUCUAAAUAAGAAUACAAUUUGGAUAAAGCCACAGAAAAACAACAGAAAAAAAAAAUGAAAUUGUAAGUGUCGACGCUGGUAGAUACAGGAAGCAGGUAUAGGGAGUGAUGGUGACGGACAUGACAGCGUCUGGACAAAACACACAACGACAUUAAUGCAGACACAGGGAACAAACGGGGAAGCAGACAGUUAUAGACGGGGCAAUCAACAAAGGGAAGUAGUCCAGGUGAGUCCAAUGAGCGCUGCUGCGCAUAAUGAUGGUGACAGGUGUGCAUAAUGAAGGGCAGCCUGGCGCCCUCAAGUGCCAGAGAGGGAGAGCGGGAGCAGACGUGACAGAAAUGACAGAUUAAGACCAGUACGAUAUGGCAGGAACUCUGACCAGACACCUGGUCAUACCUAUGUUGUCUAUGUUGCAAGAUUGAUGUAAUUCUCUUCAUAUCAGCAAGUUUAAUAAAGUAGGCUUAUUUUAUAUAAAUAAAUUCUAUCUCUCCCUAAACAGCAGGAAGCAGGUUGUACAGGCAACCUUCCUGCCAGCUCUUGAUUAUGGUGACAGCAUUUAUCAGAAUGCAACAACCACUACUCCAAAACCCCUGGAUGCACUGUACCAUAGUGUGCUUGGCUUUAUCACAGGUAACAGGUUAAAUACUCAUCACUGCAUCAUUAAUCAGAAGGUCGGCUGGACCUCUCUAAAUUCCUGUAGAUCACUUCAUUUCUACCUUUUUUGUUUACAAAGCUAUGCUGCACAAGUUUCCAACUCACAUCUCUGUUAAAGUAGAAAAAUAUGAGGCACCAAACCCGCUCACAGGGUUGGUUAACUUGAGGUCUCUUGUGUCUCUACCGACCUAGGUAUAUCAGCGUUUAAUUUGAACACAACCCCAUGUUUGGAAUCAUUUACAAUCCUCAUUACAUCUUGAAUCCCUGGUGCCAAUAGGGCAGUUUAGAACACUGAUGAGGAACACAUUCACUGAGGUGUGUUGUGGUUGAAAUCUUUUCUUUGUGAAAUGUAGUGUAUCUGUAACUGCUGUAUCUUGUAGUUGAUUUUUUUGCUGUUUUAUUGAAUUAGCAUGUUGAUUUGUGAAUUGUUUGUUCUUAGGGCACUAUUGAGAAUGAGACCCUGGUCUCAACUGGGCUCCCCUGAAUAAAUACAAGUAAAAAAACACAUACAUGUUAAUAGAUUGGGCAAAACAUCCUUUAAAUCAUCAUUCCUGUGUUGGGAAACUUGUUGUUGGUUAAGUGAAACCUGUUUCGUGUAUACAGUAUAAGGGUAUUUGACUUAAAGGUUAUGUGACCGAGGUUUAGCACUGUAGCCGACAUUGUAUCAUCACGCCAUGUCACAAGUUAACACAUCCAGUACCAAAGCUUUAGAGAGGCUACAUUGGAGACAUCCCUUAAUGCUCUCAAAGAAGACACAGACAAUCUUGUGUUUCUCCUUUAAUCUAAUGGAACAUUGAGGGGCUGAUCCAGACCUAAUCUGACGGGCUAAUCUCUGCCACUGUGAGUGAGGGACACCUGACCAGUCUGCUCAUGGUGUAACAGAUGUGAUUGUACUUCGUAACUCAAUUUAUUUAUUUAUUUUUAUUUAACCUUUAUUUAACUAGGCAAGUCAGUUAAGAACAAAUUCUUAUUUACAAUGACGGCCUACCAGAAGGCAAAAGGUCUCCUGUGGGGACUGGGGCUGGGAUUAAAGAACAUUUAAAAAAGAACAAUAUAGGACAAAACACAUCACGAGAAGAGAGACACCACAACACUACAUAAAGAGAGACCUAAGACAAGGUAGAAACACAUGAAAACACAGCAUGGUAGCAACACAACAUGACAACAACAUGGUAGCAACACAACAUGGCAGCAGCACAACAUGGUAGCAGCACAAAACAUGGUGCAAACAUUACUGGGCACAGACAACAGCACAAAGGGCAAGAAGGUAGAGACAGCAAUACACCAUGCGAAGCAGCCACAACUGUCAGUAAGAGAGUUUUUGAAUGAAGAGAUGGCGAUAAAAUGGUCCAGUUUGAGUGGUUGUUGCAGCUCGUUCCAGUCGCUAACUGCAGCGAACUGGGGACCUUUAACAGAAUGUGACUGGCAGAACGGGUGUUGUAUGUGGAGGAUGAGGGCUGCAGUAGGUAUCUCAGCUAGGGGGGAGUGAGGCCUAAGAGCGUUUUGUAAAUAAGCAUCAACUAGUGGAUCUUACGAUGGGUAUACAGAGAUGACCAAAAAAAAAUGUCUUUUGGUAUUUGUUUCAUCAGUCCAUUGUUGAUAUAGUCCCAAAAUGUUUUGCAUGUCAGCAAUCAUGUUUCCAAGAUAAGUAACUUUCAAAAUACAGAAAUACAGCCGGUAAGAUGCAUUUAGCAUCAUAUUUUGCAUCAUCGCAAACGUCAAUAUAUUGAUAUGCAAGCAGUAGGUCCUGUUCUGAAAUAAUGCAUUUCAUUUUCAUAUUUACAAUGUGUAUGAAUUUAAAAAACGCAUUAUACAGGCUGUAUUUCUGUAUUUUGAAGAAUAUAUAUCUUGGAAACUUGACAUGCUAAACAUUUUGGGACUAUAUCAACAUGAACUAAUGAAACAAAUACCAAAAGAUAGUUUUGGUGUGGAGUUUCCUUAUAACGUGUCAAAACACUUGGGCUAGACUUGACUUCAAUUAUUUAAAAAACAUUGAAAUUCUAGCUGUCAAGUCUGUCGUUACAGUACACUAGCUCCCAGCAGGAGGAUGAGUCAUCUCAUAAUGAAUCAAUUAGCAUAGUACCAGAUCACUGGUUUCAUCAGGGAGUCCUCAUGCAUAGACUGUGUACAGUAAGCUCCCAUUGACAUAAAUAAGAGCUUAU